UCUUGCGCAGCUACCAUGCAAGUCGAGCGGAACGAUCCUAGCUUGCUAGGAGGCGUCGAGCGGCGGACGGGUGAGUAAUGCAUAGGAAUCUGCCCGGUAGUGGGGGAUAACCUGGGGAAACUCAGGCUAAUACCGCAUACGCCCUACGGGGGAAAGCAGGGGAUCUUCGGACCUUGCGCUAUCGGAUGAGCCUAUGUCGGAUUAGCUUGUUGGUGAGGUAAUGGCUCACCAAGGCUGCGAUCCGUAGCUGGUCUGAGAGGAUGAUCAGCCACAUCGGGACUGAGACACGGCCCGAACUCCUACGGGAGGCAGCAGUGGGGAAUAUUGGACAAUGGGCGAAAGCCUGAUCCAGCCAUGCCGCGUGUGUGAAGAAGGCCUUCGGGUUGUAAAGCACUUUCAGUGAGGAAGAAGGCCUUCGGGUUAAUACGCUGGAGGGAAGACAUCACUCACAGAAGAAGCACCGGCUAACUCCGUGCCAGCAGCCGCGGUAAUACGGAGGGUGCGAGCGUUAAUCGGAAUUACUGGGCGUAAAGCGCGCGUAGGCGGCUUGAUAAGCCGGUUGUGAAAGCCCCGGGCUCAACCUGGGAACGGCAUCCGGAACUGUCAGGCUAGAGUGCAGGAGAGGAAGGUAGAAUUCCCGGUGUAGCGGUGAAAUGCGUAGAGAUCGGGAGGAAUACCAGUGGCGAAAGGCGGGCCUUCUGGACUGACACUGACACUGAGGUGCGAAAGCGUGGGUAGCAAACAGGAUUAGAUACCCUGGUAGUCCACGCCGUAAACGAUGUCGACUAGCCGUUGGGSUCCUUGAGASCUUUGUGGCGCAGUUAACGCGAUAAGUCGACCGCCUGGGGAGUACGGCCGCAAGGUUAAAACUCAAAUGAAUUGACGGGGGCCCGCACAAGCGGUGGAGCAUGUGGUUUAAUUCGAUGCAACGCGAAGAACCUUACCUACCCUUGACAUCGUGCGAACUUGGUAGAGAUACCUUGGUGCCUUCGGGAACGCACAGACAGGUGCUGCAUGGCUGUCGUCAGCUCGUGUUGUGAAAUGUUGGGUUAAGUCCCGUAACGAGCGCAACCCUUGUCCUUAUUUGCCAGCACGUAAUGGUGGGAACUCUAGGGAGACUGCCGGUGACAAACCGGAGGAAGGUGGGGACGACGUCAAGUCAUCAUGGCCCUUACGGGUAGGGCUACACACGUGCUACAAUGGUCGGUACAAUGGGUUGCAAAGCCGCGAGGUGGAGCUAAUCCCAUAAAGCCGGUCUCAGUCCGGAUCGGAGUCUGCAACUCGACUCCGUGAAGUCGGAAUCGCUAGUAAUCGUGAAUCAGAAUGUCACGGUGAAUACGUUCCCGGGCCUUGUACACACCGCCCGUCACACCAUGGGAGUGGACUGCACCAGAAGUGGUUAGCUUAACCCUCGGGAGAGCGUCACCACGGUGGUCUUUGC
rnacentral:rRNA from 1 species